CGGAAGGGCCGCCGGGGCGAUGCGCCGAACGGGAGCUCCGUCCGUCUUUUGGGCGAUCGCUCUGAUCAGCUUUCCCGGUGAGAAGUCAUUUUCUGGACCUUUUUCCCCUCUCUCAAAACCUUAUAAUCGGGAUCCUAGGAUCGGAGGUGGAUCGAAGAAUCAAGGUUGGAUGCGAGGGGAGUCUCGACGCCUCGGGGUGUUCCCAGGUGCCCGCCAGAGUCCCGGUUAUUCCCACAGGACACUUGGGACUUACGAAGGGUAAACGGGAGCGCAACGACGCGCUCGAGUCGCGGGACUUCCGAGGCGGAACGCCAUCCAGGAGAACGGCGGAAAGGACGGAUUCCCCUAAUAAGGGGUCCGUAGGUUUGAAAGACCGACGGGACAAAUCUGGGGCGUCCUCGGCGGAAACGGCCGCGUUUCCGAAUACCGAGGUGGCUACCGACCCAAUCCCGAGUGUUUCUUCGAGUCCUCCUCGAAGUACGACCUCGAGUACCGAAAUCCCUCCCGACGCUCACGGUGCGGAAUAUCCAGGACGGACGCCCGAGCCCCCGACGUUCGAGGAGCACGAAAUCCUCCCAGUUUUGGACAAGUUUUUCGAGUUCGGGGGCGAGUUCUUCCUCGGGAAGAUAAAGCUAGAGCUGAAGAGGCAGCUUAUGGAGACCGGCCUGCUCGACGCCCUGAGCGAAAAAUUCAAGAUUCUCCUCGAAAUGGCGGACGGCGACGUCAACGCCGCGACAGACAAAAUGCGCUCGCAGCUCAAAGAGAGCCUAAACAGGCCCUCGACCCGCGAGAAGAUGCGGAAGCUUUUAUUUAAAUUCGGGCGCAGGCUCGACGUCACGGAUUUUUAGCAGAGGUCCCCUCGGAGUAGAAAAACUAAAUAAAAAUUCCCCCUUUUGGAAAAA